AUUGAACGCUGGCGGCAGGCCUAACACAUGCAAGUCGAGCGGAUGAAGGGAGCUUGCUCCUGGAUUCAGCGGCGGACGGGUGAGUAAUGCCUAGGAAUCUGCCUGGUAGUGUGGGAUAACGUCCGGAAACGGGCGCUAAUACCGCAUACGUCCUGAGGGAGAAAGUGGGGGAUCUUCGGACCUCACGCUAUCAGAUGAGCCUAUGUCGGAUUAGGUAGUUGGUGGGGUAAAGGCCUACCAAGGCGACGAUCCGUACCUGGUCUGAGAGGAUGAUCAGGCACGCUGGAACUGAGCCACGGUCCAGACUCCUACGGGAGGCAGCAGUGGGGAAUAUUGGACAAUGGGCGAAAGCCUGGUCCAGCCAUGCCGCGUGUGUGAAGAAGGUCUUCGGAUUGUAAAGCACUUUAAGUUGGGAGGAAGGGCAGUAAGUUAAUACCUUGCUGUUUUGACGUUACCAACAGAAUAAGCACCGGCUAACUUCGUG
rnacentral:rRNA from 1 species